GACCCAGUGGCGGAUGGUGCCGCGCCCUCGUUGUGUGAAUAAAUGAGUGCCCGGAGAAUAAUUGUGGGAGUCCCUGGUUCGACUCCAGGCUGGGUCA